GAACCCCUCACUCGACGCCUCCUCUCCUAUUCUCUUCCUCUUCGUCGUCGAACCUUAAGCUUCCCUAAAAAAUCCCGAUUCUUCCUCCUCUCUCGCGCCGUCUCCUCUCUUCCUCUCCCCCACGCGGCGUGGAGCACCGAUCAUCUCCCUCUCGCGAAGCCGAGCAGCAUGGCUCCAACCACCUCUUUGCCUUCCCCAACCGGUGCUGCCGCGACACCCCAUCUCCCUCGAUCGUCGAAGCUCAAAUCUCGCCGCCACCUGAUUGGCGACGCAAGCAGCUUCAUCAUCGACGAUCGAAGCACAUCUUGAAGGCUAGCCGGCAACUCAAUGGAUGCCAGCUAUCUCAAGAGCAACGGAGCUCCUCUCCCUCACGCGCCUUUGGCCUAGAUCGACUGAUUGUCGAUCCUUCACCGCCGCCUUGUUCCUCCUCGCGUCUCUGCCCUAUAGCGAUCGUCGCCGAUCCUCCCUUCACUCCGUGAUGCCGCCGACCAUCCAUCUCCUCCCUUUCGAUCAGCUGAGCAUCAACAGGAGCUUUGGUUUUGGAAGAUCAAUAGCAGUUGCUCUUCCAGCAGUUGUCUCCGGUAGUAGGGUAAGGGAUCUUUGGUUUUGGCUACUAUAGCUCCUGUUGUGAGCAACAGGAUGACCAAAUUUGGCUUUGGCUGGCGGUGCUGUUAAGGAGGUUUUCCCAACAGUGGGUUGAUUCAGGAACAAACGGAUUUAGGACUCUGAUUCGAGACGAGCGUCUCGACGUCGGAUUGGUUUGAUACGAUCUCCAUUUUUUAGGCGGGCAACCUUACAUGGGAUUUCUUUUGGCACACGCUAUUUUGAGUGUAAGAACAGGAAAUUUAGCAACCAUGGAUCCAUUUUAUCCGUAUUUUAGAGAUUGGAGGGAUAGUUAUUACUAUCAGCCUCAGACUUAGUCCUACCUACCUAUGGAGUAACGGAAUAGGUAUGAGGAUGCACAAGAACAAAUUGAAGAAUCAAUGUGGAAAUGCAAUGAAGUUAUGCAACAAAUGAGUGAGCAUC